rnacentral:rRNA from 1 species
UACGAAGGUGGCAAGCGUUGUUCGGAUUUACUGGGCGUACAGGGAGCGUAGGCGGUUGGAUAAGCCCUCCGUGAAAUCUCCAGGCUUAACCUGGAAAGUGCAGAGGGGACUGUUCAGCUAGAGGAUGGGAGAGGAGCGCGGAAUUCCCGGUGUAGCGGUGAAAUGCGCAGAUAUCAGGAAGAACACCGGUGGCGAAGGCGGCUCUCUGGACGGUGACUGACGCUGAGACGCGAAAGCGUGGGGAGCAAACAGG